rnacentral:rRNA from 1 species
AUUGAACGCUGGCGGCAGGCCUAACACAUGCAAGUCGAACGGUAACAGGAAGAAGCUUGCUUCUUUGCUGACGAGUGGCGGACGGGUGAGUAAUGUCUGGGAAACUGCCUGAUGGAGGGGGAUAACUACUGGAAACGGUAGCUAAUACCGCAUAAUGUCGCAAGACCAAAGAGGGGGACCUUCGGGCCUCUUGCCAUCGGAUGUGCCCAGAUGGGAUUAGCUAGUAGGUGGGGUAACGGCUCACCUAGGCGACGAUCCCUAGCUGGUCUGAGAGGAUGACCAGCCACACUGGAACUGAGACACGGUCCAGACUCCUACGGGAGGCAGCAGUGGGGAAUAUUGCACAAUGGGCGCAAGCCUGAUGCAGCUAUGCCGCGUGUAUGAAGAAGGCCUUCGGGUUGUAAAGUACUUUCAGCGGGGAGGAGGGGAGUAAAGUUAAUACCUUUGCUCAUUGACGUUACCCGCAGAAGAAGCACCGGCUAACUCCGUG